rnacentral:rRNA from 1 species
AUGGAGCACUCUCCAGGAAGUUUCACUAGGAUGCUCAAUAAUUGCUCAAGCCAAGAUCCAGAAAAUCGAAACUAUACCCCAUCUGCCACCCCACCUCACCAGUUCACAAGUGCUUCAUCCUCUCAGCAUGGGCAAUAUUUGCAUCCCAUGUAUGCACAAAACAUGUAUCCAUUUCCACCUCCACAUACCUCAGGUUUCCAAGCAGCACAUGGAGUGUAUGGAGGAGGUUCAUAUGGUCAUUCAUCUUCUGCAGCCGCCGGCUUCACCGGGAUUGAUCCACAUGCUAGGAUCAACCAAGAUGCCGGAUAUUUUCAUUAUUCGCCUCAGCCUCCUGCAUCAAUACAUAGGGCAGAAGAAGUAGAUCAGCAAGAGUCAAGUGGAAGUAGUCCCGGUGAAGCAGAAGAACCUAUUGCUAAGAGGAGAAAUUGGACAGAGGAAGAAAAUAAGCGGCUUGUCAAUGCUUGGUUGGAAAAUUCUCUCGAUCCAGUAGAUGGUAACUCCAAGAAAUCAGACCAGUAUUGGAAAGCAGUUGAGAAAGACUACAACAGCGUCACUCCGAAAAAGAGGCAAAGAUCUGCCAAGAUGUUGAAAGACCAUUGGAGUAAGCAAAACAAAUUUGUGACUCAGUUUGCUGGGUGUCAUUCCGUGCAACACAGUGUGUAUCCUAGUGGGUAUGAUGACAAUAUGUUUAUGGAUAUGGUAAGAGCAGAUUACAAGGAGAAAUACAAAAAAAGAUUCACGCUAGAAUAUUGGUGGGAUAUGGUGAAAGAAAUGCCAAAGUGGAAAAAUACUUACUUACUAGAGAAGGAUGAAGCGAGAAAGAGAGGCAAGACCUCAGAAACAGGGGCUUACAUUUCUUCUUCUAGUAAAGAUGCUGAAGAAUCAGUGGACAGACAAUUGGAACGUCGUCCUCCGGGACAGAAGGGCGCAAAACGCAAAGGAAAGGCACCAGCAAAGGCCGACUCUUCUUCAAGCAACCUGCCAGAUCCAACUAUGCAACUAUAUCAUGAUGCCAUAGCAAGAAAAUCAGCUGCAAUAGAGAUGGCUGCAGAAGCAAGAAAGGAGAAGGCAUCUGCAAUGAAAGAUUACGCUGCUGCCACACUUGAGAAGGCAAGAACCAAAAAAUUGAGCAAGUAUAUGAAGUUACUGGAGACAGACACAUCCGGAUAUGAUGCAGCAAAGCUACAGCGAUAUAACCAGCUUCUGAAUCUUCUAGGCAUGGAGCUAUCUAUUUAA